AUUGAACGCUGGCGGCAUGCCUUACACAUGCAAGUCGAACGGCAGCACGGGAGCAAUCCUGGUGGCGAGUGGCGAACGGGUGAGUAAAGUAUCGGAACGUGCCCAGUCGUGGGGGAUAACGUAGCGAAAGUUACGCUAAUACCGCAUACGAUCUAUGGAUGAAAGCGGUGGAUCGCAAGACCUCGCGCGAUUGGAGCGGCCGAUAUCAGAUUAGGUAGUUGGUGGGGUAAAGGCCCACCAAGCCGACGAUCUGUAGCUGGUCUGAGAGGACGACCAGCCACACUGGGACUGAGACACGGCCCAGACUCCUACGGGAGGCAGCAGUGGGGAAUUUUGGACAAUGGGCGAAAGCCUGAUCCAGCCAUGCCGCGUGCAGGAUGAAGGCCUUCGGGUUGUAAACUGCUUUUGUACGGAACGAAAAGGACUGCCCUAAUACGGUGGUCCCAUGACGGUACCGUAAGAAUAAGCACCGGCUAACUACGUGCCAGCAGCCGCCGUAAAAC
rnacentral:rRNA from 1 species